rnacentral:rRNA from 1 species
AUUGAACGCUGGCGGCAGGCCUAACACAUGCAAGUCGAGCGAGCGGCGGACGGGUGAGUAAUGUCUGGGGAUCUGCCCGAUGGAGGGGGAUAACUACUGGAAACGGUAGCUAAUACCGCAUACUAUCAGAUGAACCCAUAUGGGAUUAGCUAGUAGGUGGGGUAAUGGCUCACCUAGGCGACGAUCCCUAGCUGGUCUGAGAGGAUGAACAGCCACACUGGGACUGAGACACGGCCCAGACUCCUACGGGAGGCAGCAGUGGGGAAUAUUGCACAAUGGGCGCAAGCCUGAUGCAGCCAUGCCGCGUGUAUGAAGAAGGCCUUCGGGUUGUAAAGCACUUUCAGUGGGGAGGCGUUACCGACAGAAGAAGCACCGGCUAACUCCGUGCCAGCAGCCGCGGUAAUUC